GUGGAGGAGGCUGCUCCCUGCUUCUGGCUGUCACGGACCUGCCGCCUCCAACUACUCCGCAUCCGCCGAGCCUGCCCGGGUCCCGGCGCUUGUCUAUGGGCACCACGGGGAUUCAGCCAAGGUCGUUGAACUGAAGAACCUGGAGCUAGCUGCUGUGGGAGGAUCAGACGUCCUCGUGAAGAUGCUGACGGCCCCUAUCAAUCCAUCUGACAUAAAUAUGAUCCAAGGAAACUACGGCCUCCUUCCCGAACUGCCUGCUGUUGGAGGGAACGAAGGUGUUGCCCAGGUGGUAGCGGUGGGCAGCAGUGUGACCGGGCUGAAGCCAGGAGACUGGAUGAUUCCUGCAAAUGCUGGUUUGGGAACCUGGCGGACCGAGGCUGUGUUCAGCGAGGAAGCACGGAUCCAAGUUCCGAGUGACAUCCCUCUUGAGAGCGCUGCCACCCUGGGUGUCCAUCCCUGCACAGCCUACAGGAUGUUGGUGGACUUCGAGCAGCUGCAGCCAGGGGAUUCUGUCAUCCAGAAUGCAUCCAACAGUGGAGUGGGCCAAGUGGCCAUCCAGAUCGCUGCAGCUCUGGACCUGAGAAUCAUCAAUGUGGUCCGAGAGGAGGAACCAUGGUGACCUAUGGGGGAAUGGCCAAGCAGCCCGUUAUAGCAUCUGUGAACCUGCUCAUUUUUAAGGAUCUCAAACUUCGGGGCUUUUGGUUGUCCCAGUGGAAGAAGGAUCACAGUCUAGACCAGUUCAAGGAGCUGAUCCUCACACUGUGCUAUCUCAUCCGCCAAGGCCAGCUCACAGCCCCUGCCUGCUCCCAGGUCCCGCUGCAGGACUACCAGCGUGCCUUGGAAGCCUCCAUGAAGCCCUUUGUGUCUUCAAAGCAGAUUCUCACCAUGUGAUCAUCCCAAAAGAGCUGGAGUGACAUGGGAAGGAAGGAGGAUCCGAGGGGCUGGGUGCAGGCCCCUCAAUCAGAGCUCUCACCUUCCCCAGACUACUGCCCUCCUCACUGCCUCUUCCUAUUAGGAGGAUAGUGAAGCCAGCCACAGUUUUUCCCUACCGUCAGCCUUAAGGCAUCUAAUAAAAUCUGAACUCUCCCCUCCAAAAAAA